UACGUAGGGGGCAAGCGUUGUCCGGAUUUAUUGGGCGUAAAGAGCGUGUAGGCGGCCAAACAGGUCAGCUGUGAAAACUCGAGGCUUAACCUCGAGACGUCGGUUGAAACCGUUUGGCUAGAGUCCGGAAGAGGAGAGUGGAAUUCCCGGUGUAGCGGUGAAAUGCGCAGAUAUCGGGAAGAACACCCGUGGCGAAGGCGGCUCUCUGGGACGGUACUGACGCUGAGACGCGAAAGCGUGGGGAGCGAACAGG
rnacentral:rRNA from 1 species